UACUAGCGUAUUUUUAUCCCUUAAAGAUGAUGGGACUGCAAACUAGCUUUUUAAAAAAAUAUUAUUAUUCAAGAGGAUUGCACUAAUAUCUCGUCUUGCGUUUUAACAUAGGGAAAAGAUAUAUUUAGAAAACUUUUGAACAGCUCUAGGGCCCGAAGAAAUUUAUCUUGUAUAUGUCUGUGGCUACCAAGAAUCGUGACUACGCUAAAGAACAUAAAAAUGCAAAAAUUUAUAUAGUGAAAUUAGGAAUUGCAGGGAAAAACUGGUGAAAAAUAAAAAAUACAAGCCCCCCCAGCUACUCCAGUGCCUGCAAGUUACUACCAUGUACUAGUGAAGGCAGUUUGUAGAAAAGUUAAGGAAGAAAUAAACUAAUUUGUUAUUCUUA